GUUAGAGUAGGAGUUAAAGUAGAUAACGGCAUGUUAAAUCAGUAUUAGCGGAUGUGGGCUCAUUCCUAGUGGUAAAGCCUUAUAAUUUUGUAUGAUUUAGCACAUUAUAUUGCGUAUUAAUAUCAUUUCACAUAAUGUAUUUAUCCCCAGUGGGUCUGCCAAAGCCGAUGGAUCCUCAUAUUUGAUUAUUGAACUGCAGAUUUAAAAUUCUUGGUGACGCAACCCUCCGAUUUUUCCGUGCUGUCGUAGUUCACUGAGACUGGGUUUGUCUCCUCCUGGUCUCAAAUCGUAGAUUUGCGAGUCAACAACAUCCGACAAAUUCACAACUGCGCAGUUCUUAAAGGUCAGUUUUGCUACUGAAAAAUGUAACGCCGUUUUUUGGCGAUCCGCCUUUUUGUGAUGAUUAAUAUUUUUGUUAUACAAAUAUAUUUAAAAGUGAGAGAGAGGGCGAGAGAAGAAUUAAGCCCACGUUAAGUACCCCGAGAUCGCACCAAUCCCAUAAUCGCAAACUUCAAAAAGAAAAGGCGCGCACUCACUCGCAUUUCAGGAAGUGGCCACCCGGUGCGCGCGUUUACAAGCCUGUCAGCGCGAUUAACAGAUUUUUUUUAUUGGGUUGCCAUUAUCCCACCGCUUGGAUCCUCGAACUUUGAGCCAACCACAUAAACCCACCGUCUGACAUCCCCGCUGUUCCUCCCUGAGAGCCCGGGCCCCACGUCCCAUCAAGUCGGAGAGCAGCAGCGCUACCGAUCCAGACAGUGAAUGUAAGAGGGCAGCACUGCACAACCCUAAUCCUAACCCUACCCCAAUAAUAGUGAGGCUGUAAAACUUGUAAUCUGUCCUGCCACCAUUUGUUAAUCGCUACAUAAGCCAUACAUACAUGCAUACAACUAUUUAAAUACCGGCAAUCAUUUGGGCAAAUAUCAGAAAUCCCUUUUUGGCACAGCGAGUGCACAGCGAGUGCACAGCGAGCUCGUUGCAGUAUUUCUUUAAUAGAAUGAUAGAUGUCGCUAGACAAAACCUUCACAUCAACACGAUUGGUAGAAGAAGUCAUAACCGGAAGUAAAGGAACAGCGAAGUUUUCUUUUGAAAGGGGGCGUUCGAGUAGUCCAAGAAGCACGUACUUAUAGGAUUUUCCCUUUCAAGGGGGAAAUAUUUACGCUGCCGUGAUUUCCAAAGUUUGGAGUAGUUUGUAGUUGUGUUCGAUGCUUCUAGGAGUGACUUUUUAUUCAGAAACAGAGGGCAGAUGAUCAGAAAGGAACGCGUCACUGACGAACUGGAAAGCUUAAGUCUGUGAGCGCAGUCGCGGUUAACCCAUGUUGUAGCCGAGUCCCACUUAUUUCUAGCAAAACUGGUAUUUUGAAUAAACAGCAGAAAUUGUCCGAACGGAGUUUCCCCCGGAAAUGUGCACACAUUGAGCACAAACGAGCGACCUCUAUCUGUUGAAUCUGUAAUAAAAGCCGAAGUUAAAUGUUUGUCAAAAUACAACUAAUAAUUACAAACUGCUUUAGUGGGUGAGCUUAUGAAUGUAACAAUAUAUUACAGCUGGGGAAGAAAAAGAAAUACACCAAUGCGCGCUUUUAUACACUUGGCAAACUAAGAGUAUCUUAAUUAUGACAGAGGCUUAGUUAUAUGACGAUAUGUUUCAUGUUUAUAUGGUGAAACAGUUUGUAGCAAUCCUGCGCUCUGGGUAUAAAGGGCUCGAUAUACCCUCACAUACAGUGACACACUCUCAAAGUGAAGUUAUAUCUGCUGACCUGAGUCACGCUUUGGUGUCCUUUCUGCUGGUCCUUCACCUCUCAGUUUUCUAACCUUGCUGCAACUUGGCAGAUAACGUGAAUCUAUUAUUGUGUCAUUUUUCAAUUUCAAUUAUAUAUCAAUACAGAAACUUAAUUCCUAGAUUAUACAGAAUUAGAUGCUGCAACAGCUUGAAUAGAUCAGCCUUUCUGGAGACAGCAUAAACCAAGAAAAAGGUGGGAUCCUGUCAUUCAGUCUGCAUGACUAGGUGGCUUUUUUAUACUGGUGCCCACAGAAGUGAUUGGAACACCUGAAUUCAAUGAUUUGGAUCGAUCCUGGCCGUGGACCUAUUGGAUUGAUUUUAAUGGCUGUUCUCUUUCUGAUUGGGAUUGGAGCACUGUGAUCUUCUGAGACUUUGGAUCUUCAACAUUUAUCCCUCAGCAUGAAACAUCACGCUGAAACAUCAUUUUUUUUUUUUUACUCAUAGAUACUUACUUUCUGUCUUAAAAUGUUUUUAACUGUAUUGGCACAGCAUAAUGGCCAAAUAGGAUGUGUUUUAUUGCAUAUGCUUAAGCCCAAAGAAGUCGCCUUUUUUUUAGAAAAACAAUUUCCAUAAUAACUGGUUAUUUUUCUGUAAAUCACCUUCAUGCUUAUUUGGCUUAUCAGACUUCAGCUUUACUUGACAGCAAAUAAUUAUGUUUGAAACGCAUAUACAUAUCUGGCCUUAAUUAUAAACACAUCUGCAUAUCAAGCUGCAUAUGGUUCAUGUUCUUUUUCAUAACAGACACUGGAACAGAAUAUAAUGUGCUCAGUUAAUAAUCAGAAGAGUGUACAUCAUGGGAAAUCCCUCAGCUGC
ensembl:lncRNA